rnacentral:rRNA from 1 species
AUUGAACGCUGGCGGCAUGCCUUACACAUGCAAGUCGAACGGCAGCACGGGGGCAACCCUGGUGGCGAGUGGCGAACGGGUGAGUAAUGCAUCGGAACGUGCCCAGUAGUGGGGGAUAACCCGGCGAAAGCCGGGCUAAUACCGCAUACGACCUAAGGGUGAACGCGGGGGCCCGUAAGGCCUCGCCCUAUGGGAGCGGCCGAUGUCUGAUUAGCUAGUUGGCGGGGUAAAAGCCCACCAAGGCGACGAUCAGUAGCGGGUCUGAGAGGACGACCAGCCACACUGGGACUGAGACACGGCCCAGACUCCUACGGGAGGCAGCAGUGGGGAAUUUUGGACAAUGGGCGCAAGCCUGAUCCAGCCAUGCCGCGUGCGGGAAGAAGGCCUUCGGGUUGUAAACCGCUUUUGGCAGGAACGAAACGGCGCGAGCCAAUACCUCGCGCUAAUGACGGUACCUGCAGAAUAAGCACCGGCUAACUACGUACCAGCCGCCGCGGUAAGAC